rnacentral:rRNA from 1 species
UACAGAGGGUGCGAGCGUUAAUCGGAAUUACUGGGCGUAAAGGGCGCGUAGGCGGCCUUCUAAGUCGAACGUGAAAUCCUCGGGCUCAACCCGGGAACUGCGUCCGAUACUGGAAGGCUUGAAUCCGGGAGAGGGAUGCGGAAUUCCAGGUGUAGCGGUGAAAUGCGUAGAUAUCUGGAGGAACACCGGUGGCGAAGGCGGCAUCCUGGACCGGUACUGACGCUGAGGUGCGAAAGCGUGGGGAGCAAACAGG